AUGGAGGAUGUGUGGAAGGACAUGUCGCUGUGCUCCACCCCGCUCGCGCUACAGUCCUACCACCUCCACUCCCCAGCCGCCGCUCCCUACCGCGGCGCCGCCCACCCCCAGGACUACCUCGCCGGCGCCGUUCCGCAGCCUCCCCGCACGCCGCCGCCUCACACGGCGCUCACCCUGGAGUUCACCUGCCCCGGGGGGACCGGCGCUGCCAACUCGGCCACCAGCUCCGGCGACGACCCAGCCGGCUGUCACUUUGGCUUCUCCGCGUCCGGAGGCGCCAGCAAGAGAGCCGCUGUGCAGCCAGCGGCGGGCGACGACCGGCGGCAGCGCCGGAUGAUCAAGAACCGGGAGUCGGCGGCGCGGUCGCGAGCGCGGAAACAGGCCUGCACCAACGAGAUGGAGCUGGAGCUGGUGCAGCUGCGCCGGGAGAACAGGAUGCUCAUCCAGCGCGAGCAGGACUUCAUCAACGACCGUUUGGCGAAGGCGGCGCAGGCACCCGUCCCAGACUGCAGCAGCGGGACCACUAGUAGUACCCUCCAGCAGAAGCAGCAGCGGCAGAAGCAGAGGUGCCGCUCCGCCCCUGCGCCAUGA
rnacentral:rRNA from 1 species